UUAAAAUGCGACCGUUAACGGUCCUCGCGAACGGCACUGUGCUGGAACUGCCCCCUCCGCUUAAUACAAUUGGAGCCAGCCUGUGUUUUCAUUUAAAAACUAAAUUUUUAGUUAAGCGUAUAAAUUAUUGACAAAUUUUAGUGCUUUCUGGAGGAUUUCUGAGGUAAAGUCGGGUUUCGACGCGAGCAAAGGACAAUCGCUUCUGUUCAGUCCCGACGCUGAAGACGCAGAUGGGUACUUUAAAAUAUUUCGAAGUCAUUGCGGUUAGAGAAAUGUAUAAAUGUGCAAACUUCUACUUAUUGUGUUGCUGUAAACUUAUUGACUUAAUAUUUGUUACAUCAACUUUUGCGAGAUUUAAAAUGUUAAUCAGCUACACAAAAUUGUCCUCAGUGGGUAAGAAUUGUAAUGCAGGGAUACUUUUUAUUGAUUUCCGUGGGGAGAUGAUGAUGUAAGAAUAAGUAGACGUUUCACUAAUUUGUUGUUUCUGAAAGUUGUGGGGGGUGGGCAUUUAUUGUACGUGUUAUUCUGGUUAGUUAACAUUUCAUUUUGAACUUGCAAGCUUUGGUUUUCAGCUUCUUAGCCGUGUACCUCACAGGUGAGCCAGAAUAUGAAACUAUUUCGAGUAUUUUAAAUUUGUUUGGAGUUUAUAAAUUACGGCUAUAUAGUAGGCAGUGUAAGAAUCAAAUGUGCCUUCGUAUCUAUUUGAAGAUGAAUUACAGUGUUUUUUUUCUUAUUUAAAAAAAAUGUAUAACCGAAGGCGAGUGCUGUGGUGAUGAUACGCAUAGGCAUUUUGCAGUUUUGUAUUUUGUUUGCUUUUAGUCCUUGUAUUAAAAUACAACGUAAUUUUAAUACUAAGAAAAUUCACGACAUUGUAAUCACCGUUGUUUUAUGGCUGAAUUUACCUUUUAAGCUGGCAGCUACCGAAUAAUUUGGUUUGUAUCUGGAACAUGGCUAGCGUUGAGCGUGGGAUAUGGCUCAGGCGGUUUCAAACUUUCAUAAUCCAGAGACCCCCAAAUGAAAAUGUGCUAGAGCUAGGGAUCCCCUACCACGAAUACGUGAUCACGCACCAACGUAAGGCAAGUGAAAAUCGUUUUGGGGUACGUUUCCCUUAAAUAUAUUGGCAUCGCGUAAAACGGAUAGUAAUAUCUUGAAUUUACUGUACGUGUAAACUGUUCUGUGGCCAUCCAAUGGCUUGUGGACGCACGGCCGAAAACCCCUGAUCUAAGCUUCUACAAAGAGUGUGGAGUAUUGUAAAAGCGAGUCGGGCCAUUCAUUUUCAUCGUGAUCAAAGGGGAGAAAUUGGCCCGACGAAGUGACUGCUAUUUCUUUGUGAUUUGCGCUGUUAAACGAUGAUACAUCAUCAGGGGGUGGGUUCAUACGAUACGCUUGAUAUUAUAUCCUCAGAAAUUAAAGUAGUUCACACAACUUGUUUCUGCCCUUUGCUACAGUAUCUCAAAACGCCCUAAAAUUAUUGCGUUGAAAUUAUGCAUGACCACGAUUGAUAUGUUUUGUCAGAAAUUUGGUAAUCUGAAAAAAUAGCUUUAUCUAAACAGACAAUUAUUGGAAUGUGGUCUGUGGCAUUUUCUAAGAAACCGCAUUGAAUGACUUCAUCGUCAUCGGUGUUAAUUCAGGGAUAGUGGCAAAUAUUUUUUCUGUGUUUUGUCACUAGGUGGCGCCAAACAGUUGAAAGACGAAGGGAAAAUACAGAAAUACAGUAGUUGCUCAACAGGAACGACACAUUACAAUUCACAUGAAGCAAGAAGAUAACUUAAUCUGAAGGUCGCCUGCGUGUGUCUCAUAAUGAUUAGCCAUAUUAUUGAUUGGAACAGCUGAAGAUUGUAAAGAGCAGUGGAAAUUCCACACAGAGCACUCUGGAAUUUGAAGUAUUAGGUUGCAAACAGAAUGCGGUUGUUGUUGAACAUAUGUUUGUUUAUUUGUGUUUUUUUAUUUUUUUACAUUCUUAGUUCUUGAUCAACUGAACUGGUCAGUCUUUUUGUUGCUGGUGUCCUCGAAUGACCAAGUGUAGUACUGCACCAGGCAUCUCGUCUGACACGCAGUUUUCUUAUUGUCUGGAGCUUUCUGUGAUUAAAAACCCACAUCCAUGAGUUUUGCACCCCACACUUUCCUCUGAAUUUGCAAGAGGCAGGGUGCCUCGCUGGCCCCCGAUGUUUCAGAUGUUGUUCUGUUAAUUAAGAAAGUUCAUGUGAUUACUCACUGGUGUGCUCAGGCUGGAACCUAAAGCAGUGGGGAUUGAAGCUGGGGGAUUUCCUGGAUGAUUGGUGGGAGAAACAGCAGACUGGGCUCUUAGCUUAAAUUAAGAAACUUGUCUAAGCACCAUACAUUAUAGUACAAUUUUAAGGAAUUACUGUUUAGAUUCUCUAAUACAGAGCAUUAUAUUAAAACGUGUGGUAUGUUUAGUCUUUUGACUAAUUUUUUUGGUCUCUACAUAUAUUCUUUCAUUUGCCCAAGCAAGAAUGUUAAUUAUCGGAUUGCUUAACACCUGCUCCAUGCUCAGUGCAACAAAAACAGAAACACUGGGUGGGACACAAUAAGUUAAUGAUGUCGUUAUUGUUCCCUGCCUCUUACUAGGCAUUUGGGGGCUGUCACUGGGUUGCGCAUGUUGCAGAGCCACACACUUUACCCACUUGGCUGCAUGCCUCUAUUGGAGAUGCUAAAAUACAUCUGUCAUGCUGCUGCCUUUCAUUGCCACAGACUUUCAACAUAGUGUGCAAUGGACAGUGGUUUGUUCAAUGUCAGAUCAUGUAUGACUGAACUGCUUCCAGAUAACUGCACUUGUUGACAUAUAUGCUGCCCUCUUGCUUCUGUGUGCUUGUGUCCGGAGGGUGGGGUGACUUGACAGCGAGUGGGUGCAGCGCACUGUAAUUACCCAGGUUAAAGUGAAUCGUGAUUUUCAUUUUUGCACCCUGUGCUAAACCAAAAAUGUAAAUUGAUUAAUAAAAUUUACCCAGCUCUACCUUUCAGGUAUUGCAUAACAUUAAGGCUUGGAGAUAUGGAGUUUUUAAGCUAUAUUGAUAUAUUUUCAUAUGAGAUAUAGGAUGACACAAUGUAUCGAUUUAUGUUGCUUUAAAAUUACGCUCGUAGUACCGCCAGUUCGCCUUCUUCUACUCUUUAUCUCUGUCUGUCUCUCACACAACUGCACCUUGCCCCACCCCUCCCCCUUAUUCACAAGUUCUGGAUGCCGCAAUAACAUGGAGACAGAUA